rnacentral:lncRNA from 1 species
AUGGAGGUCUGCGCCCGGCGCUGGCUUCCACGGCCGUGGUCUCCGCUACCUUCCUCGUCCCGUUGCUCCCUUCUUCCUCCGCCUUCCCACGUCUUCCUUGUCUCUUCCCCUCUUCCCUUCGCCUUCAUUUAUUUCUUUGUUUCUCUCUCUCAUUCCCUGCCCCCACCCCCACACAUACCAUUUGUUGAACGCACAGCGUCAGUCCUACAAAACUUGCUAAGAUCUGGUCCUUGUCUUAAGAAGCUCUCAAAUAAAGGAGCCUGCAUCAUCAAAGUGAGGCCAAGAAUUUCAGCCUUGAAAAAGCCUGAAUCUCUCAAAAGAAGUUUUCCAUUCAGGAAGCCAAAUCCCCAAGCCCCAAAGACACUGACUCCUAAAGUCAUCCAUCUUGUCUGCGGCUCAUCCAAGCCCGGAGCCUACCCACCUCCUGGCUCAGUGCCAGAAACUAGGGCGCUGCGGGGAGUCCGGACGCUUCCUUUGCGCGAGGCUGAGAAGAGGGAGGCUCCUGUUCGCUGCCCCUUGUUAAUGGCCGUCCCUUGGACUGUGGUUCCUGAUGAGGUAUGGCCUGAAUGCUUUCUAUGCACCAGCUAUAGACCUUCUGGUGCCCAGGACUGCUGUUUAGCGGGAAGAGAUUGUAAUUCCAUCCUCUGCCAUUCGUCAUCAGUCAUCGAUGACUUCAUCCUGAGACUCAGUUGAUUCUCUCUCCAAAACACAA